UACGGAGGGGGCUAGCGUUGUUCGGAAUUACUGGGCGUAAAGCGCGCGUAGGCGGCUUUGUAAGUUAGAGGUGAAAGCCCGGGGCUCAACCCCGGAACUGCCUUUAAAACUGCAUCGCUUGAAUCCGGGAGAGGUGAGUGGAAUUCCGAGUGUAGAGGUGAAAUUCGUAGAUAUUCGGAAGAACACCAGUGGCGAAGGCGACUUACUGGACACAUAUUGACGCUGAGGUGCGAAAGCGUGGGGAGCAAACAGG
rnacentral:rRNA from 1 species